rnacentral:rRNA from 1 species
AACGAACGCUGGCGGCAUGCUUAACACAUGCAAGUCGAACGAGACCUUCGGGUUUAGUUGCGCACGUGUGCUUAACGCGUGGUAACCUGCCCUUAGGUUCGGUAUAACUCCCCGAAAGGGGUGCUAAUACCGGUUAAUGUCAUCGGACCAAAGAGUUAUCGCCGUUGGAUGGGCCUGCGUUGGUUUAGCUAGUUGGUAGGGUAAAAGCCUACCAACGCGACGAUCCAUAGCUGGUCUGAGAGGAUGAUCAGCCACACUUGGACUGCGACCCGGCCCAGAAUCCGACGGGGGGGAGCAGUGGGGAAUAUUAGAGGCUGAACGAAGGUCUAAUACAGCCGCGCGGGGGGAGUGAUGAAGGCCUUAGGAUUGUAAAGCUCUCUUACCCGAGAUGAUAAUGACAGUAACGGGAGAAUAAGCUCCGGCUAACUCCGUG